AGUAAUAUAUUUGGUAAUGCUGCUUAUUGCUUGACCAAAAACAAACAAAUGAAAUCGUGUAAACUAGAGAAUCUUCCCGAAAAAGAAGAUGUUAAAAUGGUUAAUGAUUAUAUUAUAUUAAAAUUAGGAUGUUUCACAAAAAUUCCGUCUCAUUUAUUUGAUUCAGAAAAUUUCAUUGAGUUGAGAGAUAUCGUUUGUGCCAGAAUAACAUUAUUUCAUGCCAGAAGAGGUGGUGAACCAGCAAGGCUUCAACUGUAUCAGUAUUAUGAAGUAGUUAAUGAUAAAACCAUUGAUAAACAACGACUUAUAGAACUAAAUGACUAUCAAAAGUUUUGAUAAAGUCUGUUAAAGUUGCUUUUAUGGCUGGGUAGGGCUUAUAACGUCACCGUUUUUUUCGACCUGACACGCUUCCUGGCUUAAAUAUCCUUUCUAAUUCAAUUAUGAGAGAGCAUGUAGGCAUUCCAAAAGAAAAUAUAUUUUUAUUUGCAAAUACAAGAAGUUCUGAUAGGCGCACUUCUGGUUGGAAGGCAAUUCAUGGCGUUGCUUCUAAACUACCCUUAAUAAAACCUGAUCAUUUGAAGGCAAAAAAUAAUAGGCAUUUGAUGCUAGUUUUACAGCCAUAACAAAUACUUCAGAAGAAAAUAAAGAUAGUAGGUCCAAGUUGUUCAAAACAAACUAAAUAUUCUAAUGAGGAAAAAGAUGAAAAUGUUACAAAAAGAAAAAGACAAAUUGCUGAACUCUUACCAGAAAAACAAGCAUAUUAUACUUGGUCAAAUAACGAUGAAAAGCUCAUUUUGGAGUUUCAAAAAUACUUUAUUGAAAACAAAAUGUCAAGGUAAAAAAGAAAUCCUUGAUUUUAUGGAAGAAUAUGACCUAAAUGUUCUUUAUACAACUGCACGGACAAAAAUUACAAACGAAAGACUUAAAUUUCAACGGGACAAACUAAAUGUUGUUAAAGAACUUAACAUCACCAUUACAAAAGAAUAACACGAGUGGCCCAUGUGUUUCCCUUUAAUGUUUUUGUUAUAGUAUAGUUAUGGUAUAGUAAUACUAUUAUAUUACAAUUAUAUAGUUAUAUUACAAUUAUAUAGUUAUAUUACAAUUAUAUAGUUAUAUUAUAAUUAUACACUUAUAUUACACAGUUAUGGUAUAGUUAAGCAGUUUUACUUCAGUUAUACAGUUAUAUCAUAGUUCAGUUUUCGUAUAGGUAUGCAAUUAUAUAUGGUAUAGUUAAAUAUAGUUCAUAGUUCUGUUUUUAUAUAGUUUAUAUUUAAUUUAUAUUCAGUUUAUGUAUAUUGUAUAUUAUAUGUAUGUUUAUAUUAAUAUGUAUAUUGUAUAGUAUAUGUAUAUUGUAUAUGUAUAGUUAUGCAGCUUUAGGAUAGUUUACAGUUAUACUACAGUUAUACAGUUAUACAGUUGUGGUAUAUUUUGCAGUUAAAGUAUAGUUAUGGUAAUACAGUAAUAUCAUAAUUAAUGGUAUAGUAUAUUAUAGUUAUGGUACAGUUAUAAUAUAAUUAUACAGUUGUGUUGUAAUUAUGCUGUUAUGUUGUAAUUAUACACUUAUAUAAUUGUUAUAUACUUUAGUUUUAAUAAAAAACAAAACGUUUA